UAAUUUUUAGUUUAUUAAAACAUUAAAUUGCAAAUUUAAAAAAAUAAUUUAAUUAUAAAAUUAU